rnacentral:rRNA from 1 species
GAUGAACGCUGGCGGCGUGCCUAAUACAUGCAAGUCGAGCGAACAGACGAGGAGCUUGCUCCUCUGACGUUAGCGGCGGACGGGUGAGUAACACGUGGAUAACCUACCUAUAAGACUGGGAUAACUUCGGGAAACCGGAGCUAAUACCGGAUAAUAUAUUGAACCGCAUGGUUCAAUAGUGAAAGACGGUUUUGCUGUCACUUAUAGAUGGAUCCGCGCCGCAUUAGCUAGUUGGUAAGGUAACGGCUUACCAAGGCAACAAUGCGUAGCCGACCUGAGAGGGUAAUCGGCCACACUGGAACUGAGACACGGUCCAGACUCCUACGGGAGGCAGCAGUAGGGAAUCUUCCGCAAUGGGCGAAAGCCUGACGGAGCAACGCCGCGUGAGUGAUGAAGGUCUUCGGAUCGUAAAACUCUGUUAUUAGGGAAGAACAAAUGUGUAAGUAACGAUGCACGUCUGGACGGUACCUAAUCAGAAAGCCACGGCUAACUACGU